rnacentral:rRNA from 1 species
GUCUACGGCCAUACCACCCUGAACGCGCCCGAUCUCGUCUGAUCUCGGAAGCUAAGCAGGGUCGGGCCUGGUUAGUACUUGGAUGGGAGACCAAAUUAACUUUUCCUCCUCUAAGUG